rnacentral:rRNA from 1 species
AGUGAACGCUGGCGGCAGGCCUAACACAUGCAAGUCGAACGGCAGCACAGUAAGAGCUUGCUCUUACGGGUGGCGAGUGGCGGACGGGUGAGGAAUACAUCGGAAUCUACUUUUUCGUGGGGGAUAACGUAGGGAAACUUACGCUAAUACCGCAUACGACCUACGGGUGAAAUCAGGGGAUCUUCGGACCUUUCGCGAUUGUAUGAGCCGAUGUCGGAUUAGCUAGUUGGCGGGGUAAAGGCCCACCAAGGCGACGAUCCGUAGCUGGUCUGAGAGGAUGAUCAGCCACACUGGAACUGAGACACGGUCCAGACUCCUACGGGAGGCAGCAGUGGGGAAUAUUGGACAAUGGGCGCAAGCCUGAUCCAGCAAGACCGCGUGGGUGAAGAAGGCCUUCGGGUUGUAAAGCCCUUUUGUUAGGAAAGAAAAGCAGCAGGUUAAUACCCCGCUGUUCUGACGGUACCCAAAGAAUAAGCACCGGCUAACUUCGUG